CACUUAUGAUGAAAAUAAAUAUCACCAUCUUUCGACUGAAUAUUGUGAUGUUUUUAUAAAUAUCUGAAGUG